GAUGAACGCUGGCGGCGUGCUUAACACAUGCAAGUCGAACGGAAAGGCCCUGCUUUUGUGGGGUGCUCGAGUGGCGAACGGGUGAGUAACACGUGAGUAACCUGUACUUGACUUUGGGAUAACUUUAGGAAACUGGGGCUAAUACAGGAGAGGAGCUCUUGCUGCACGGUGGUGGUUGGAAAGUUUCGGCGGUUGGGGAUGGACUAGCGGCUUAUCAGCUUGAUGGUGGGGUAGUGGUUUACAAAGGUUUUGACGGGUAGCCCGCAUGGGAGGGUGAACAGGGACAAGGGGACUGCGGGAGGCCGCAGUAGCGUACGGGAGGCAGCGGUGGAGAGCAUGACGCAGUGGGGCGAAGCCUGAUGCGACGGCGUCGCGUGCGUAAUGCCGGCCUACGGGUUGUGAACAACUUUCGCCUGUACCGAAGAGUGCGUGACGGUAAUGGGUCAAGAAGCACCGGCUAACUACGUG
rnacentral:rRNA from 1 species